UAAACUUCACUUAGACCAAUCGGAGUUCACGGUGGAACUUUGUAAACAACUCUCACGCUGUUUUAAAGCUCUUCUUCUGUGUUUACUACGAUAAGGCGCGACGGGUGCUGCGGAAAAGUGAGUCAAAAGUGCCAAAACAGACAGCCAUCCAGAUGUUGAAAUCAAACUCCACUCAGAAAGUGUUUCUGAAGACAAGAGGAAUGAUGCGAUGGCAAAGCAGAAAGAAGCAGCACCAGACAGCCUGUUGUGACCUCGUGCUUGGGUCAGGCUCUUUCUUGGCACACCUGAGUGACAUCAUAAACAUGGCCGAAUUGACCGGCGAAGAUCUGAGCCCACCUGUAACCAGCCCAAGCUUUUAACGAAUGGGAUCAAUGGGAUCCUAUCAGUGGGACAUGCUCAGGAGUAGCCUCCGGCGGUGAUCUCAGUGCCCGUUCGGAUCGCAUGCCCGUCGGCGCUGGGGUUUGCUGCCUGCUGAAUUCAAGUUGCUAAAGUGCGUAACUUCUCCCGGCGAAGUAACGUUAGUCUCCAGCAGCGGGGACCGAAGCACAGUCACCGCGAGGUCAUGGGCGGAAAUUUCAUCUAACAGUUGGGGGGGGACAAUAAACAUGAAAUUUCUCAAGAGCAAUUUUUGAAGGGGACACAAAUAAUACAGCCAAAGUUGUACUUGUACAGGAUAUGUGUAACAUUAGCUGUGGAACUCCAGUAAGAAGGCUGGCAAGCCAUUUUAUUCACUUAAAACAUCAGAUGAAGUGAUUCUUUUCUCUAAUACAGAUUAUACUGAACUGAGAACUGAACCCCCUAGAUAGCAAGCUAACUAACUCAUUUUCUGUAACCAGUAAAAGCAUGUUGGGUGGAAUUAGCAAGCAAGCUAACGUUAACUAACUAUUCAACGAGCUUCCAAACAAGCUAGGUAACGUUAUAACCGCUAACAUAGAGGAUUCAUGGAAAAAUCUUUUGUCAUGACUAAUUUAUUAAGGAAACAGUAAAAAAUAAUCACUUAACCCGAUUUUUAAAGUGAAUGAAAUAGUCUUGUCUACUUAGCUACUGGAGAUGCACAACUAACCUUAAGUUACUGAAGUGAUUCAAACUUUGUUCUCUCUCCCACCCAGCGCUGUCUCUCUUAACAACACAGGCUUGUUGUAGAGCAUCUUUGGCUACACGGACUGGAGUUCUGAGAAUGUGACGACCAGAUGUGUGUCUUCGUAAACUGAAAUUGAAAUUUGAAUUGUGAGAAUUGAAUGUAGAAGUAUGGAGAGUUGUCUUUUCAGUGAGAAUCAAAUGCAGUUUCAGAGCAACUGAAUUUCAUUGCAUAAUUCUACAUUCAGUUUUAAGUUUAUUGCAAUUCUGCUUCCAAACCAACAAAUUCAAUUUAAAAAAAAAUUAUACUAUUUACUUGUUUCAGUUUUCAAAUGCAUGUAUUCAAGUUGAGCAAUUCAAAUUCAAAUAGCCUCUAAAUGAUUGAAGUUCAGUUUCUAGUGACACAUAUUUCUGCCAAUACAAAUGUUUGAUAAGAAAAUAAAAUAUUCCAGGGAUGGAAAGAGUUACA